GCCAGGUUUGGUGGCUCGUGCCUGUAGUCCCAGCUAAUUGGAAGGCUGAGGUGGGAGGAUAGCUUAAACCCAGGAGUUCUGGGCUGUAGUGCACUCUGCCGAUCAAAUGCCCACACUAAGUUCGGCAUCAAUACGGUGACCUCCUGGGAGCGGGGUGAACCACCAGGUUGCCUAAGCAGGGGUGAUCCGGCCCAGGUUGGAAAUGGAGCAGGUCAAAACUCCCAUGCUGAUCAGUAGUAGGAUCAGGCCUGUGAAUAGCCACUACAUUACAGCCUGGGCAACAUAUUGAGACACCGUCACUA
ensembl:misc_RNA Metazoa_SRP Metazoan signal recognition particle RNA